GAAAAGGCAAAAAUUGCGAGAAAAAUAAAAGAAAAAACGGGCACACUUAAAACGGGAAACACAAAACAGACAGGGGACAAACAAAUAGCGGACACGGUUCGGGGUAGAAGCGGCAGUCAACAAUCCAGACGCCAGCGUUGC